UUGGGGUUUUUAUGGCACAGCUAGAUGGUUUAUUUGCCUGCUUCUAGAUGAGAAAAGUUAAAUUUCUUGCUCCUUGGUUAAUUAGAUAUGGUUUUCUUUUCUCAUUUCACUUGGUUUAAAUCGCCACCAUUUUAGAGUAGAGUCCAUUUUGAAAGAUGGGAUACAUAAUUACUCAAAAAAAUAAACAUAUAUUUUUUUAACUGUGGUAAACAUAAGGGAAAUUCUUCUACUUCCUUCUUCCCAGUCGAGUACAGGUUCAGUAGAAAAAACUCCCAACCGGAGCAGCUAAGUAGAUGCCUUCGAGAUUGCAAGACCGAGGAGACAAAGGGCAAGAACAACAUCGAGUUGCCUAUUAUUAGAAUCCAGACUCCGGAAACUCCAGAUAAAGGGCACUGCCUUCAAUCCUACAAAGUUAUCUUGAGCUUACCACUUCUAUUCUACAAUAAUUUCUUUGAAAAACACAAGCAACUUAUUUCGCUAUUUAAAGGUUAAAAAAAUCUUUAUUGGUUACUUUGCUAUCACUGUCUACAUUGUCCCUAAACUGGAAAAUAUAUAACACUGGUUAGCAUCCUAUAUUCUCUGAGAUGUUGGCAAAGCCAUGGAAGCUCCCUGGCUGGGAAAAUCAUCAAUUGAGAUCAUUGAGUUUUCAGCAUACAACCUUUGGGACGUUAGGGGCAUAUAUAGCCUCUCUGAUGUUGGUGGUGCUCCGUUAUUUCUCUGAACAAUUGUAGGCAUAGGCAUAUACAUAGUCUCUGAUGGCGGUGGUAUAGCAUCAGCCUGUUGGGAAGCUGGAACCAUGUCGGUCCUUUGUGAUGGUCUGGUAACAUAUAUCCUCUCAGAAGUUUGAUGUGAAGUAAUAUCAUGCCUUUGAGAUGUUGAACCCAUAUGGUCAUUCCUGUGAGCUGUAGCAGGUAUGUAUCGUUUCUCAGAAGUUGGAAACAUGGUAUCAGUUCUUGAAAAUGUUUGACCCAUACUGUCGUUCAAGUGAGAAGUUGCUAUAAAGUCAAAUAACCUCUCAGAAACUGGAUGUACAGAAGCAUCAGUCCUAUGUGAGGCUGGAGUUAUGCUGUCACUCCUAUUUGAUAUUGGAACCAUAUUGUCAUUCUCAUGAGAUGUUGACACAUAUACACAAUCAGAAGUUAAAGCCAUUGCAGGAUCAGUCCUCUUGGAUGAUGGACCGACAUUGCCAUUCCUCUGAGAAGUAGGCAUGUAAAUCCUCUGAGCAGUUGAAGAUAUGCUUUCAGUCCUCUGAGAUGUUAGGGGUAGAUUUUCAUUCCACUUGGACGUUUGAGGUGUAUAAAUGCUUUCAGAUGUCUGUGGUAUGGUUAGUGACAUUUCUUGGCUUAAUGAAUUCCCAUCUGUUGCAGGAUGUAUAGCGAGUGAUCUCUCUCGGUCCGAUAAAUCCUGCUCAACUGUUGGAGAUAGAACCAGAGACACCUCCUGGCCUGGUAAAUCCUCAUCAACUAUUUGUGGCAUAGAUGAUGCUCCCGAGUUUGGUAAAUCCCCUGGCAGUAGUUCUCCAUGCUUUGGGGAAUCUCUCUCUGAUGCUAUUGACAUAUUUGGGGACACUCUCUCAUUAGGUAAACCUCUCUCAGGUGCAGAAGAAAUUCCUUGGUUUGCUUCCACAUCAAAUGAUGUAAGAAUGGAUAACGACACUCCUAGGCUAGGUAAGCCCCUCCAUUGCUGUGCCACUGUUUUAAUCUGGGUAUAAAAUUGCACACUUGUCUUUCCUGCCAUCAAUAGAAGAAAAGGAGGAAAAAACGAUUAUAACCACACUUCAUAAAAGGGUUCAACCAACCAUGCCAAAUGUAACCAGAGAUCGAGAGAAAAAUGUAACCAGAGAUCAAGAGAGGGUAAGGUUUCAAGUAAUUAUACCACAAAAAUUGAGAUCGCCAGCAAAAGAUGCCUUUGGUUCAUUAGAUGAGGAAAAUGGCACUGGAACUGGAACAGGAACAUUGAUUCCAACCUGUCAUACCCAUUCCAUGUCGGAAAUUGAUAUGCAGUUCAAACUUACAGACUCAAGAAAGACUACCAUGAGCACAUCCUGUUUAGCUGUUCACAAUCUCUCUCUAUAAUGAAUCCCACACAGCAGGAUAGGAAGGCACAUUCCCAUUCCUUCGAUUGACUGAUCAAAAGUACUCUCAAACAGUGUAAAUUUCUAGACAAAAUCUAAGCACAAUAACUGAAACAUCACAAUCACACACAGAGUUCAUAAUUUCAUUUCCCCACACCCCAUCCCACCACCCCCACCUCCCAACCUUUCUUCUCCCACCAAGAAGGCCUUUUCUACCUUGAAUGGUAAGAACUGAUAUGGCUUAAAACUUAUAAUGUUUAGCCCACAUAUUUCCCACCUACUUAACUACAAGUUUGGUAAGAUCUUCUGGAUAAUGAAAAAACAAGACAAAAUACCAAAAAAAGGCUGGUCCCUGUAUGGCAGAAGGAGAAAAAGGUUGGCUUACCAUCCCAGCGUCAAUAUCAUUCUGGAACUUUCUUGCAGCAACACCAGAUGAUGUAAAUAUUGAUGCUCCAUUACCAUACCUGCCAAAGCAAGGUUAGAAGAAUUCAAAAAAGAUGGGAAUUUCAGGAAUUACUAAGGCACUAUGCAUUAUGCAUUUUAACAAAUUAUCGUAUAAAAUAGACCAAAUCAACACUUUUGCUCUUCCCAAAUUUUAAACCCUAUACAUUUCCAGAAGUCAAUUCUUUGCAGGAUUUUGAUAGCAGAAAAAAGCUAAUCUUAGUCACAAUUUAUAAAUCUCUUUGCGAAAUAGGUAAGAUAUGGGACAAUUUUAAUCUAAUUCUACCAAGAAGGAAGAAAAAAAAUAUCUAGAAGUCAUGAUAAGACCUAAAAUUAUCAUGUGUUAUAAUUUAAGAUAAUAAAAAAGUUAUAAACAUGCUCACUUAGCUGCAUGAGAAUUAAGAAAGUGAAACAAAUACCUGUUUCUAUUUACAAUGGUUAUAGCCUCUUCUAGAUUGUCAGCCUGUGGAUUGUCAAACAACAGAUAUUUUUUACCAGUCUCCAACUACUGUGCAUUGCAGUCACAUGAAAGUAAGAGAAAUAUACUAAUAAAAGAGUACCUGCAUACAAAGAAGAACUGGGCCAAAAAUUUCUUCCUGCUCAACACAAACAUUGCCGUCAAGAAUAAGGCAAGGUCUUUGGUUCAACUCCUCAACUGAGAAUCAUAAAUUAUCAUGUCCACUCAUUCUGAAGCAUAACAUGGUUAAAAGAAUGAAAAAAGAUACCUUGUAGCAAUCCAUGUUGACCGUCACAUCACAUAAGAUAAUAGGACCAACAAAACUUCCUUUCUCAUAUCCUGGAACCUACAUAAUGAAAUUAGUAUAAGCUUUCAUGCACAAAAUGAUUGAAGUAACUCCUUAGUAAUAGAAUAAAAGGUCACUAAACGUUCUUGGCGUCUUGUGUAUGUUGUUUCUAUACCAGGCAGUUACUUAUAUCCUCUCAAGAAAGAAAUGGAACAAAUACCACAAUGUUUCUCCCAUCAAGAAGAAGCCUAGCACCAUUGUCAACCCCACUCUGAACUAAUCUGCAUAUGCGAUCCUUUACCUCUUUGCUAAUCACUGGACCAAUGUCUGCAGUAGGAUCAGUGCCUGCAUUCACUUUAAGUGCUUUUGCACGCUCCACAAGUUCGUCUUCCCUAGAAACAUUAAUAAAAUACCCAAGUUGAAGCUAUAAGUUAUGCAUGGUUAAAAGCAAAGAAAGACCAGCAUUUUCUCAGAUUCAAAUUGCAAAGCAAAUGGACCAGACCUGGCCAACAACACCAUCUAAAGUUAUAUGGGCAUAAUCAAGCCAAAGUUUUUGAUGCUGUUUCAUGCAGACAACAAGAACACGCAUCGGCUCAAUAUUGAGAGAUGCUAGGGCAAGGAUAGCUUGAGGAAGAAAGCAAUGCUUGUCCCUGCUGUCCAGGCAAAACAGCCUCAAAUCUCAGUGCCAAUGCUUGAGUGUUCAUAAUCAUAUCUAAGAGAUGUUUACAACCGGUGCACACAGCUUCUUAGUAAAUGACUCAAGCAUAAUUUAGCAGCUUAAGAAAGAGAUGAGAUUCUUGAACAAUCUUUUAAUGGAGAAAGAACAGUAUCUUGUAUAUGAAAAAGCAGAAGAAAGCAAGAGAAUGAAAAACCACAUUUAAAGUCUCUUGUUUCUUUAUGUUAUUCACUUUCAUUUUUUUAGCCCUCAAUUUCUCGACAAAAAUCACUUUUUUUUUGCACGCAUCUCUUAUCAACAGAUUCCAUUUCUUACUCAAUCUGUGAUACACAAAUUGAAGAUACAAAUCUCCACAAAAGUUUCGGAGCAGAAUUAUAGAAACCCAAUUGAAAUCAUAUUUUUUCCUGAAGGAGACCAUUAAUUUCAAUUCCAAUCCUUAUAAUAUAGUUGACUAAGCACAGGGAAGAAUCCCCAACAAGUCUUCAAGUAAACAAGUCACAGUACCAUGCUACUGAUCCACCAACAAAAAUAGCUGUGCUCAGAGCCAUACACCGUUGUCCUGCAGCACCAAAACCAGCAGCGACCAAAGCAUUCAAAGUAUCAUCCAUGCUUGCGUCCGGCAUGAUAAUUGCAUGAUUUUUUCCUCCUAUAUUGGACUGAACACGUUUGCCUCUAGCAGCUGCCCUAGCAUGUAUGUGCAUGCCAGCAAUGUCUGAACCAAUGAAUGAUAUAGCUUUUAUAUCAUCGUCAUCACAUAUGUAAUUAACAAUAUCCUGCACAUAUUUAUUCCAAGUUAUAAGAAUUUUAAUGAAAUGUCCAAUAUACUCACAGAACCCAAAUGACCAGAACCCUGUCCAUUUCAGUCUUUCUCAAAUUUGUCUCUACUAAUUUAAAUGCACACCAAGUCAUUCCAAUAGGAAAGGCAUUCCAUAAAGCAUCGUGCAUAAUUCCUAGUCACACUAGUGGGCAACACCAGGUAACAAACUUAAACAGAACGAGACAAUCUUCUCUAACCAGAGUGAGACCAUCUUCUCCAAAAUUCUAUGGCCUUAAUUCAAUCCAUCAAUAGCCUAUAUUCCAAAGUUUGGCUACAACGCCAACAAUCAAGUCAAUUCCAAAACAGGAAAUCUUUAAUACCAAUGAAAAUUCCUUUUAAGAAAACUAUAAAGUCCAGUCAGACUCCUUUCUCUCUUUUGUAAGGGGCAGGGGCAGCAUUAGUUGGGCAACACUCCAUCAAUGGAGCAAAAAAGCAAGGAAAUGCUGCUAACCUAAGAAAGGGCCCCUGGUAUAUCAAACCUCAAAAUUACAUGCAACAUUCCAUUAAUACUCUACAAAAAUUCAUUGUGUAAAUGAUAAAAAAUAAAAGGCCUCCUAAGAAGCAAGGCUUACAUUGGUGCCAUGAACA
rnacentral:misc_RNA from 1 species